rnacentral:rRNA from 1 species
UUAAGCGACUAAGCGUACACGGUGGAUGCCCUGGCAGUCAGAGGCGAUGAAGGGCGUGCUAAUCUGCGAUAAGCGCCGGUAAGGUGAUAUGAACCGUUAUAACCGGCGAUACCCGAAUGGGGAAACCCAGUGUGAUUCGUCACACUAUCAUUAACUGAAUCCAUAGGUUAAUGAGGCGAACCGGGGGAACUGAAACAUCUAAGUACCCCGAGGAAAAGAAAUCAACCGAGAUUCCCCCAGUAGCGGCGAGCGAACGGGGAGGAGCCCAGAGCCUGAAUCAGCAUGUGUGUUAGUGGAAGCGUCUGGAAAGGCGCGCGAUACAGGGUGACAGCCCCGUACACAAAAGCGCAUGUGCUGUGAGCUCGAUGAGUAGGGCGGGACACGUGGUAUCCUGUCUGAAUAUGGGGGGACCAUCCUCCAAGGCUAAAUACUCCUGACUGACCGAUAGUGAACCAGUACCGUGAGGGAAAGGCGAAAAGAACCCCGGCGAGGGGAGUGAAAAAGAACCUGAAACCGUGUACGUACAAGCAGUGGGAGCCCCACCACUAAGCCAGUGGUGAACUCCACAUACGCAUCCUUUGCUGAGGAUACGGUUAACGGAGCGAAAGCGACGUUCAACCGCAAAACAAGCAGAGGGGGCUUAGUGGUGGGGUGACUGCGUACCUUUUGUAUAAUGGGUCAGCGACUUAUAUUCUGUAGCAAGGUUAACCGUAUAGGGGAGCCGCAGGGAAACCGAGUCUUAACCGGGCGUUAAGUUGCAGGGUAUAGACCCGAAACCCGGUGAUCUAGCCAUGGGCAGGUUGAAGGUUGGGUAACACUAACUGGAGGACCGAACCGACUAAUGUUGAAAAAUUAGCGGAUGACCUGUGGCUGGGGGUGAAAGGCCAAUCAAACCGGGAGAUAGCUGGUUCUCCCCGAAAGCUAUUUAGGUAGCGCCUCGUGAAUUCAUCUCCGGGGGUAGAGCACUGUUUCGGCUAGGGGGCCAUCCCGGCUUACCAACCCGAUGCAAACUGCGAAUACCGGAGAAUGUUAUCACGGGAGACACACGGCGGGUGCUAACGUCCGUCGUGAAGAGGGAAACAACCCAGACCGCCAGCUAAGGUCCCAAAGUCAUGGUUAAGUGGGAAACGAUGUGGGAAGGCCCAGACAGCCAGGAUGUUGGCUUAGAAGCAGCCAUCAUUUAAAGAAAGCGUAAUAGCUCACUGGUCGAGUCGGCCUGCGCGGAAGAUGUAACGGGGCUAAACCAUGCACCGAAGCUGCGGCAGCGACACUGUGUGUUGUUGGGUAGGGGAGCGUUCUGUAAGCCUGCGAAGGUGGCCUGUGAGGGUUGCUGGAGGUAUCAGAAGUGCGAAUGCUGACAUAAGUAACGAUAAAGCGGGUGAAAAGCCCGCUCGCCGGAAGACCAAGGGUUCCUGUCCAACGUUAAUCGGGGCAGGGUGAGUCGACCCCUAAGGCGAGGCCGAAAGGCGUAGUCGAUGGGAAACGGGUUAAUAUUCCCGUACUUGGUGUUACUGCGAAGGGGGGACGGAGAAGGCUAUGUUGGCCGGGCGACGGUUGUCCCGGUUUAAGCGUGUAGGUGUGUGUUCCAGGUAAAUCCGGUUCACUUUAACACUGAGGCGUGAUGACGAGGCACUACGGUGCUGAAGCAACAAAUGCCCUGCUUCCAGGAAAAGCCUCUAAGCAUCAGGUAACAUCAAAUCGUACCCCAAACCGACACAGGUGGUCAGGUAGAGAAUACCAAGGCGCUUGAGAGAACUCGGGUGAAGGAACUAGGCAAAAUGGUGCCGUAACUUCGGGAGAAGGCACGCUGACACGUAGGUGAAGUGAUUUACUCAUGGAGCUGAAGUCAGUCGAAGAUACCAGCUGGCUGCAACUGUUUAUUAAAAACACAGCACUGUGCAAACACGAAAGUGGACGUAUACGGUGUGACGCCUGCCCGGUGCCGGAAGGUUAAUUGAUGGGGUCAGCGCAAGCGAAGCUCCUGAUCGAAGCCCCGGUAAACGGCGGCCGUAACUAUAACGGUCCUAAGGUAGCGAAAUUCCUUGUCGGGUAAGUUCCGACCUGCACGAAUGGCGUAAUGAUGGCCAGGCUGUCUCCACCCGAGACUCAGUGAAAUUGAACUCGCUGUGAAGAUGCAGUGUACCCGCGGCAAGACGGAAAGACCCCGUGAACCUUUACUAUAGCUUGACACUGAACAUUGAGCCUUGAUGUGUAGGAUAGGUGGGAGGCUUUGAAGCGUGGACGCCAGUCUGCGUGGAGCCGACCUUGAAAUACCACCCUUUAAUGUUUGAUGUUCUAACGUGGACCCGUGAUCCGGGUUGCGGACAGUGUCUGGUGGGUAGUUUGACUGGGGCGGUCUCCUCCUAAAGAGUAACGGAGGAGCACGAAGGUUGGCUAAUCCUGGUCGGACAUCAGGAGGUUAGUGCAAUGGCAUAAGCCAGCUUGACUGCGAGCGUGACGGCGCGAGCAGGUGCGAAAGCAGGUCAUAGUGAUCCGGUGGUUCUGAAUGGAAGGGCCAUCGCUCAACGGAUAAAAGGUACUCCGGGGAUAACAGGCUGAUACCGCCCAAGAGUUCAUAUCGACGGCGGUGUUUGGCACCUCGAUGUCGGCUCAUCACAUCCUGGGGCUGAAGUAGGUCCCAAGGGUAUGGCUGUUCGCCAUUUAAAGUGGUACGCGAGCUGGGUUUAGAACGUCGUGAGACAGUUCGGUCCCUAUCUGCCGUGGGCGCUGGAGAACUGAGGGGGGCUGCUCCUAGUACGAGAGGACCGGAGUGGACGCAUCACUGGUGUUCGGGUUGUCAUGCCAAUGGCACUGCCCGGUAGCUAAAUGCGGAAGAGAUAAGUGCUGAAAGCAUCUAAGCACGAAACUUGCCCCGAGAUGAGUUCUCCCUGAGACUUAGAGUCUCCUGAAGGAACGUUGAAGACGACGACGUUGAUAGGCCGGGUGUGUAAGCGCAGCGAUGCGUUGAGCUAACCGGUACUAAUGAACCGUGAGGCUUAACCUU